AAGCUUCCUCUAUAUGGAAAUGACCUGUUUCCACUCAUCAGACUGGGGGUGAGAGUGACUGCAGACGUUCUGGGAGGACCGCUGUAUCUCUUCUACAUUCACACUUUUGGAAUACAAAUUCAGAUUUAAUGGAAACUAUUGGAAUUUAAAAUGCAUAACAUUUUAUCUGGUUGACGCCAAUCCUGUGGGAGUGGUGCAGCCCACGCUGAGCGUCCUCCCUCCCUCCAGAGUGGAGCUGGAGCAGGGCAGUGCUACACUAGUGUGUGUGGCCAGUGGGGGCUUCCCCUCAGACUGGAAGCUUGGCUGGAAGGUGGGGUGCAGCAGCAGGUCUGGGGGGGUGUCUGAUAGCCUGGUGGUCCUGGGGAAAGACGGCCACUACAGCUGGAGCAGCACCUUGACCCUCCCUGCAGACCAGUGGAGGAAGG